rnacentral:rRNA from 1 species
GACGAACGCUGGCGGCGUGCUUAACACAUGCAAGUCGAACGAUGAACCCGGAGCUUGCUCCGGUGGAUUAGUGGCUAACGGGUGAGUAACACGUGAGUAACCUGCCCUUGACUCUGGGAUAACUGCGGGAAACUGUAGCUAAUACCGGAUACGACCCUCGGCGGCAUCGCCAGGGGGUGGAAAGAAUUUCGGGCAAGGAUGGACUCGCGGCGUAUCAGCUAGUUGGUGAGGUAACGGCUCACCAAGGCGACGACGGGUAGCCGGCCUGAGAGGGUGACCGGCCACACUGGGACUGAGACACGGCCCAGACUCCUACGGGAGGCAGCAGUGGGGAAUAUUGCACAAUGGGCGCAAGCCUGAUGCAGCAACGCCGCGUGAGGGAUGACGGCAUUCGGGUUGUAAACCUCUUUUAGUAGGGAAGAAGCGAAAGUGACGGUACCUGCAGAAAAAGCACCGGCUAACUACGUGCCAGCAGCCGCCGUAA